CUACGGGGUGCAGCAGUGGGGAAUAUUGCACAAUGGGCGCAAGCCUGAUGCAGCCAUGCCGCGUGUAUGAAGAAGGCCUUCGGGUUGUAAAGUACUUUCAGCGGGGAGGAAGGGAGUAAAGUUAAUACCUUUGCUCAUUGACGUUACCCGCAGAAGAAGCAUCGGCUAACUCCGUGCCAGCAGCCGCGGUAAUACGGAGGGUGCAAGCGUUAAUCGGAAUUACUGGGCGUAAAGCGCACGCAGGCGGUUUGUUAAGUCAGAUGUGAAAUCCCCGGGCUCAACCUGGGAACUGCAUCUGAUACUGGCAAGCUUGAGUCUCGUAGAGGGGGGUAGAAUUCCAGGUGUAGCGGUGAUAUGCGUAGAGAUCUGGAGGAAUACCGGUGGCGAAGGCGGCCCCCUGGACGAAGACUGACGCUCAGGUGCGAAAGCGUGGGGAGCAAACAGGAUUAGAUACCCCUGUAGUC
rnacentral:rRNA from 1 species